UACGAAGGGGGGCUAGCGUUGUUCGGAAUUACUGGGCGUAAAGCGCACGUAGGCGGACAUUUAAGUCAGGGGUGAAAUCCCGGGGCUCAACCUCGGAACUGCCUUUGAUACUGGGUGUCUUGAGUGUGGAAGAGGUCAGUGGAAUUGCGAGUGUAGAGGUGAAAUUCGUAGAUAUUCGCAGGAACACCAGUGGCGAAGGCGGCUGACUGGUCCACAACUGACGCUGAGGUGCGAAAGCGUGGGGGAGCAAACAGG
rnacentral:rRNA from 1 species